AACUGUGAAAUAAGAGACCUAUCUCGUCCCCUAUAAAUUGGAACAACAUUUUUCCAUCAUUUCAUUUUUUACAGAAGAUGGAAUGGUUAGUGUUUUGACUAGAAUAAUAACUAAGAGAGAGGAUAUACGUACAUAGUGGGGUUCUGUAGGAAGGGGUUCACAGAAUUCCACCAGAUCAAAUACAAGAUGUGGGUUGGGUGGGGUCUUUUUUUUAUAAUAACCUUUUUCCAUCAUUUCAUUUUUUACAGAAGAUGGAAUGGUUAGUGUUUUGACUAGAAUAAUAACUAUGGAAAAAGAUAUAGAGAGAGGAUAUACGUACAGAGUGGGGUUCUGUAAGGUGGGGUUCAAAGAAUCCCACUAGAUCAAAUACAAGAGGUGGGGUGAGUGGGGUUUUUUUGAUAAUAUAUUAAUUACAUGGAGCCCACCCCAUGUGUCUUAUUUGGAGGGGUUCUGUGAACCCCUACUCUGUACAUUCAACAUAGGUGAAAGAUAUAUGUACAUGAUAUAAUUCCGAAUCUUAUACAAAAUGCUGACAUGUCAUAUUUUGUAAUGAAAAUACCGACAGCCCAAUCAAAUCCAAAAUACCAUGAAAAUCUCGCCAGCUCACAAAUUAAUUUGAAUAAACCCUCCAAAAUUGGCCAGAAGCACUUUGCCCCAAAUCAAACCAUCUUCCCUUCAUCUUGCACUCCUCUCUCACGAUCCGCACCUCUAAGGUCCAACUAAAUAAAUCUCGUCGGCACAACUACCUCUGGCGAAGAAAAGACAAUCACAUAAGAUAUAGCUCUCUCCAGCACGCAAGUUAAUUGGUUCAGAUUGUGUGGAAUGGCCAGGAGGAACAGAGGAAUUUGACAUUAAAAGAAAUUCUGACAAUAAAGGGAAGUUGAUCCAUUGUUACACCUACGAUUAUAGGUUUUUCAAGUUUUUUAAAGUUUCGCCCAACAAGAAGUAUCUAUUGCAAGGUGAAUCAAGUGGAACGAGUUUCAAUUUUUCUAAAUUUGUCCCAUAUGGUGUAAAAGUGUGCAAAAAUAACUGAAGAGAGGAGCAUGGAGAUUUUGCUCAACAUAACCACAUGCAAGGGGAAACUAGUUGGAUGAGCUUGAUAUAUUGUAAUUAUUUGGUUUCACGAAUAAGACUAUCGAACUAUGUACUUUGCUU